AUAUAUCCCGAGUGUAGUUGUGAACACUAAGAAUAUAGUGGAAACAGCAUUAACGACUUUCGAAUAUAUUAUCCAAAAAAAUCACAAAUAACCUUAUGAAAGUGGGUUGAAAUAAUCCGAACUUUUCAACGUUGAAGAAGAAGUUCUAAGGAGAGAGAGAGAGAGAGAGAGAGAGAGAGAGAGAGAGAGAGAGAGAGAGAGA